UGGGGAACCUUCCAGUCAAGAUCAGAGUGCUUUGGCCUCCCAAAAAUCCCUAGUAAAGGCCAUUUGGCUUUCUGAAGCCAGACAAAAGGCAAUUAUAUGCAUUUCUAUCUUUGGAAAAUGUAUUUGAGGAAUCAGUGGUGAGGCCUGAAUGCAGGAGAUGCAGAGAGUCUGGACUGCCUGGUGAAAAGGAUGCUGGCCAUGAAAUCCCAAAGUCAGGGGACCUCUUCAGGUCACUUACAGGGUGACUCAGUCCAAAUAGCACUGGAGGCGAUCCACAGCCUGCCACCCAUCUCAACCCUUUCAUUUCGCCUCUGACCUUUCUCUUCUUGCCCAUAUUUGUUCUUGCAUAAAUUUAACAUAGUUACAUUCAUAAAUUCCAGUUAAUAUUCUGCUUUCUAGGUAAUGUAUAAUAAACAUCUUGUAUGUUUCCAUGAGAUCUUUGUCAUCAACACUGCUGAUGAUUACAUUGGUGCACCAUGAUUUCAUUUACCACACCCUUGUAAAUGGGCCUUUGAGAAUUAUCUAGGGUUUUGCUGUUCUAGAUAUUGAUGUAACACACAUCUUUUGCUUAUAGCUAGUCCUUUCCUCAAGAUCAUUUUCACACCUUGAAUAUCAGGGUGUGACAAUAUGUUCUCAUAUUGUCCCAAAAGCUUGUAAGAAUUUGGAUGGUCACAAGCAGUGCAUGCAUGAUUUUCAUUCCAACCUCACCAGCAUUGGUCAUUAAUAACAUUUUUUUCUUAAAUGAUUAACGUAAAUCAUUUUAAUCUCCUUGGUUAGAACUAAGAAUUAACAUUUUUGAAAAUGUUUGUUUAAUUUUUACAUAAUUUCAUAUGUGAAUUUUUGUUUAGAGAUUUGCUCAGCCCAUCCCAUUCCUAUCUGCAUCUGUAAAUUUAGGGUGUAAGUCACCAUCCAUGGCCACCUCUGAAGAAUAAAGAAUGAUAUAUUCAGGGGGUAAAGUUAUAAACUGUGGGCAGUACUCAAAGCUUCAAAUCAAGUCCUUGCAAUGGAGUAGGGGCAGCCUCAUUAACAAGGACAGCCACACUUUCCCCAGUCAAGUCUUGAUAUACCACAGGACUAAGCCAGUGGGUCAUAAUAUUUAUGCACUCUGUGCCUCAGGCACUGUGCUAAGCACUUUACAUAUAUAUUUCACUUAAUCUUUACAAGGUCACUGAGAUGUAGACAUUAGAAUUUCCAUUUUACAGAUGGAGCUGAAAUAAGUAAAGUAAUUGCCCCAACAUCACCCAGCCUAGUGAAGAUUCAAACCCAGAUCUGUGGAUCCAUAAAGCUAUGAUGUAACCACUGCAUUAGCUUCUGAAUAAAUAAAAAAAAAAAUCAAAGGGGUUAAAAAAUUGAAAAACAUGAUACUGUCUCUACCCUACAUGUGAUCACCAGUCUCCUGAAUAGAUAAGUAGGGAGAGCCACAAAGCCAUGUGACCUAUGUCAUUACAGGUCUUUGAGGUCAGGAAGCCAUGAGGACAGAGGUGAGAAUCCCUCACUGAGGAGCUGAGGAAGGCUUCAUGGAGAAGGCCAUGUCCCAUGGAGUACUGAAGCAUGAAUGAGAAUUUGCCUCAUGGACAAGAGUUGGGCUGAAGAGAGAAAGGAGGGCUGAGAGCCGGGUCUCGCCAAGAAUGUGUGCCCGCAGGUUGGCAGGACUUACGAGUAACUACAGAAGCCUGAAACCUGCUUUUUCUCAGAUUGACAUCCCAGGAUCUUAAAGGAAUCAGGCGAGAUCGCCUCCCUCUUGGCCCAGGGUGUGAGCCUCCCUGUCCUGUUAGGCCAAGUUUCUCCUCACCCAGAGCUUAUUCCCGACAGCACGCCCUGUGGAGGGGCCCUGCCGCCACAAUUUCCGAAGCCUGGGUUUCUUGGCACCUAAGGGACUGCUGCCCUGACAGUGCUCCAGCAAACCAUGCCUGUGCCAUCUUGCCCCCACAUGUGCUGGAGUCAUGGAGAUACCUCCUGUUGUUCUAUCCCUGAGACUUGAGGACAGGAAGAAGCAGCAGGAGAAACCACAAGGGGCCGGACUCUGAUUGGAACAGCAGGAGGGCUGGAGGCCUGGCCUGACCUGCAGGCCUGCACGAUGAUGCCAGAGCCCCAGGUUUUGGCAGAGCCUGAAUCCUGCUUGCCAAGGGAAUUUGGAAACUGCCAAACCCCUGUGCAGAUGAAGACAAAUAUCAGCCUCGUGUUUCUGAUUCACUUAGGCUCAGCUCAUCAAAGUGCUAUUUGGUGAAAGCUGCUUACAUCUCAACAAGUCAAAGGACCUCCUGUGGAAUUGUGAUUUAGCUUUGUCCAAAGAUCUCUUGGCCACGGCGGAAGGAUUCAAGUCAUGCCUCUCCCACUUCAGGAAGAACUGUAGCCACUAGAUAUGCUUUGAGAAAUGUACUUCACUUUUCUGAGCCUCGGUUUCCUCAAUUAUAAACUGGGAGGUGGUACCAACCUGGAAGAAUUCCUGUGAAGAUUAAAUAAUUGAAUGCAUUAUUUAAACCCCUAACACUUCAUUAGUGCUGUAUAAAAUGGUGUAUAUUAUUAAUAAUAGUAUUAUGAUUAUUAUCAGCA
rnacentral:lncRNA from 1 species